rnacentral:lncRNA from 1 species
UACUUUCUUCAUGGUUAUGAAUCAGAUUGGACAGGCUUGUCAAUAUAAUGAAAUUUGUGUAAAAUUCUCAUAUUCUGGCUGUGAAUAAAUCACAAUUGACAAGCUAGGUGGGGUAUAAGGCAGCAACCAUUUGAUUUUCUGGGGGGGGGCUAUGGUUUUUUUUUGAAAAAAAAGUUUGUUUCCAGGUUUUGGACCCUGAGAAAAAAAAUUGUUUGUUUCACCCUCAGCUCCCACUAUAUGUACUGCUAAAAUUGAAAGAAAAAAAUUGUUUUCGGUUUGUCGCUAAAAAAAUAGAUUGUUCUUCGCCGAAGGCGAAAAAAAAAGUUUGCACAGAAAAAUCAAAUGGUUGCUGCCUAAAGAAAACCGGAGGAGACGAAAAGGGACAGAAAACAGAGAGAAAAAACAACAAACGACCAUUAAAGAGGGGCGAAAUAUACCAUAGGGACAGAAACUCAAUGAUCGAAAAUAAACUGACAACGCGAUGGCUAACAAAGAAAAAGACAAACAGACAAGACACAACAUUGCAUUGAAAACUAAAGCUAAGCAACACGAACCCCAUAAAAAAUGGAGGUGA